UGGAGCAAUCCAUGAGUAGAGUGGCAAACGGGUGAGUAACACGUGGGUGACCUGCCUUCGAGCGGGGGAUAACGUUCCGAAAGGGACGCUAAUACCGCAUAACAUCCUGCCUUUUAAGAGGUGGAGAUCAAAGCCGGGGAUUCGCAAGAACCUGGCACUUGAAGAGGGGCCCGCGCCUGAUUAGCUAGUUGGUGGGGUAAUGGCUCACCAAGGCAACGAUCAGUAUCCGGCCUGAGAGGGCGGACGGACACACUGGGACUGAGACACGGCCCAGACUCCUACGGGAGGCAGCAGUGGGGAAUUGUUCGCAAUGGGCGCAAGCCUGACGACGCAACGCCGCGUGGAGGAUGAAGACCUUCGGG
rnacentral:rRNA from 1 species